AAAAAAAAAAAAAAAAAACUUCAAUUUUGUACAUGAGUAAGCUGUGUUGUUUCUAAUUUUACAGCAAUAAUGUUUUCAUCCUCAUAAACUAAUCUGGCUUAUUGGUGUAUUUAUGGGCAAGCAAUUAAAAGCUAACUACCAAUUAUUGAAUGCAGAUUUUGUAUAGAUGAUAAAGCAAAAAUCAACUGAAAUCUAUCAGCAUUUAAUUCUUAUCUUUCAUGUAUUGCAGAAAGUGAAAAAACGCAAAGCAAUGUAAUGGAAAAAUGGGAUGCAAAAAUCUAGUUAUACCUCAUAGUACUUGAUGCAUCUCUUUUAUAGAUUGCUGGGAAAAGGAAGCAGGCCUUUUAAUGCAUAGUACCAACUGAUGUCUUUCCAAGACUGAGCAAUAAAUUAAACCAGCCACUCCAGCACCAGGCCGGGGCAUAGAAGGAAUGAUACUGUACAUGCAACAUAAAGGGAAAAACACUGUGAGCUAAGGUUACUGUUCAUCACUGUACAAAAAACAGUGCCCCAUCGCCAUGAGUUUUAAUGUAUUGUAUCAGAUGGAAACAUCGGUGCAAUCCAUACUUUGUGUCGGGUUUCGCAAUUGGCAUCUUUGCUUCUGCUGUUGCCUUCAAUGCAAUGAUGAAGUAUAGAAUGAAUAGCAGAGACUUCAUUGAAUUCUCA
rnacentral:misc_RNA from 1 species